rnacentral:rRNA from 1 species
GAUGAACGCUGGCGGCGUGCUUAACACAUGCAAGUCGAACGAAGCACCUUGAUUUGAUUCUUCGGAUGAAGAUCUUGGUGACUGAGUGGCGGACGGGUGAGUAACGCGUGGGUAACCUGCCUCAUACAGGGGGAUAACAGUUAGAAAUGACUGCUAAUACCGCAUAAGACCACAGCACCGCAUGGUGCAGGGGUAAAAACUCCGGUGGUAUGAGAUGGACCCGCGUCUGAUUAGGUAGUUGGUGGGGUAACGGCCUACCAAGCCGACGAUCAGUAGCCGACAUGAGAGGGUGACCGGCCACAUUGGGACUGAGACACGGCCCAAACUCCUACGGGAGGCAGCAGUGGGGAAUAUUGCACAAUGGGGGAAACCCUGAUGCAGCGACGCCGCGUGAGCGAUGAAGUAUUUCGGUAUGUAAAGCUCUAUCAGCAGGGAAGAAAAUGACGGUACCUGACUAAGAAGCACCGGCUAAAUACGUG